rnacentral:tRNA from 1 species
GCUUUGAUAGCUCAGUCGGUAGAGCAGGGGACUGAAAAUCCCCGUGUCAUUGGUUCGAUUCCAGUUCAAAGUA